UAGAUAUUUAGGAAGAAAUUCUUUACCGUGAGGGUGGUGACGCACUGGAAUAUGUUACCCAGUGAGGUUGUGAAUGCCCCAUCCCUGGAAGCACUCAAGACCAGGCUGGAUGGGGCUGUGAGCAACCUGGUGUGCUGGGAGGUGUCCCUGCCUAGAGCAGGGGGUUGGAACUAGGUGGUCUUAAAGGUCCCUUCCAACCCAAACCAUUCUAUGAUUCUGCGAUUCUAUGAUCUCCUUCCAACCCCAACGAUUCUGUGAUUCUCUGUUGAGAUCAGUGAAGUUGCAUGGUCUUCAGCAGGCAUGGCCACACUACCGAGUGUGCCUACAUUGUUGAGAACACCAGAAUGGGAAGCUCGUACAUGCACUGGCUUUGCUCCACUUCCUUUAGUUGGGCAAAAGGGGCACCCCUGAAGAUUGCUCCCAGCUGUGGUGCAAGGCCCAAGGCAGAGGAUCAUGGGGCAGUCUUGGGGCUCUGCUCCCAGGACAGAGGGAUCAGUGCCAGUCCCAAGACAUGGCCAUCGCCACUGAGCUGCAUAGAAGCUCGAGGUGUGGAGAAGGAAGCAUGGAAACUGAGCUGCAAAUAUUUGGAAGUGGGAACACAGAAAAAUUAUUGACAAAGGGCCAUAUUAUAUCAUUGAUUUUUAAGCAAAACUCCCCAUUGAUUUUUCAAAACCGCAUUGAACAUUUCAGAAUCAUUGAUUUUAAUGGGGAGUUCUGCCCCAAAAUCAAUGGCACAAUACAGCCCAAAGUAAAUUGCUUCUUAGUAUCAAUAUUUUUUGUCGGAGCUGUUGCAAUGUGGAAAACCGUCUUUAAAAUGUGCAUCCUUUGUUUCUGCCUGUUUUCUUAGACCUCUUUGAAUUCUGCUUUUCUUUGGAAUCUGAAGGGGAAGGGCAGUUGUGCUGGCUGGGCUUCACUCCCACGCCCUGCUCCCAGGCUGGGUUCUGUGCAGACCCCUGGGUUGGGGUCUCAGUGCUUUGCCUGGUGCCCGUCAGCCCCCACGAGCCAUCCAGGUUGUGCUGCUGGAGGUGAGGUGCUGGCACCUGCAUCCAGGAGGAGUUGGGGGGGGGGGGGGGUUGGGUUGCGUCUCAAAGAGGUGACAACCCAAAUGUGUAGACAAGAAAAGGAAUGAGAAACAGUUGGUCCUUGAAUCAGUGUCUGUUCAGGGUAGGAAAUACUGCUUUUGUUAAAAAAGAAAGCGUGCUCCUGCCCAGCAAGGCUGGCUCUCUGCUGCAGGAGCUGCCAGAUGCAGCCCUUGUGUUUAGGACAGCAAAUCCUCUCUGUAUUUGCUAGCAUGUUGGCUAGACUCUUCCUUCCCUUUUGCUUGGUCCAAAACCUUCCCGUCGCUGUCUAUCUAAAUGAAUUCCUGAUGGUUCAGGGAAAAUACUCACUAUUAUUGCUGAAUGUCUAGACAAACAAAUAUAGCUAAAUGAAAGCACACGUAAUGCAGUGUGAUCAAUACUUGCAAGUACAGAGCCUUUCAGUUUACAAAGUGAGGAGGAGCUCUGGGCAAAGGGCUCCUGGUGGCAGCCAUGGCGUGAUGGAACUGCAGGGACAUGGGGAUACGGCGGUGGUGGUGCUGGGAUGGGGCCAUCAAGCAGAGAAUGGAAGGAGGAGGUGUACAUAGAAUGGGGAUAGGUGUGCUACCUUUCCUUCUCUUUACAUUCUUGUUUGGUAUUUUAUUUGCUUGCAUCUUUUCAGUGAAUGGUAGUAGGAUACACUAAGAAAAACACAGACGUUUUGGCUUCCGGUUUGAAUUGUGGAGUAUACCAAAAAAGUAUUCGUGAAAUAUAACUAACUGUGAAUGAAGGUUGCAAAAACAAACCAUUUAGAAAGCAGGUUCUCUGUAAAUGAAUGUGUCUUUAUUCUAAUGGCUAUACAGUUCAAUGCCUGAUGGGGUUGUUUUCAAUAAAAAGAUAAAUGCUAAAAAAAAAAUAUAAUAAUAAAAAAGAUGCCAUAAUUGUAAUAAAGGGUUCGUUAUUUAAUGGCCAUACUGAAAGCAUUAUUUAUUUUUAAAAGGCUGGUGUUGAUAAAGGGCCAGAGUAGUGUCUCAGGUGAAUGGCAUGCAAGGCUGCACACGCUGUGAAACGUGUCCCGAGCAGAACUGCUGCUUGGCCCUGCUCCCCUCGGGCCCCUGUUGGCCUCAGGGCAACCAGGAUGGGGCCAGCUUUGUCCCACAGGGGUGGACGUGGCCUGCACAGUGUAUGGUGCAUGUAAAUACGUCGUCACAUUUGUGAGCAAGGAGCCUGGUUCUUGUUGUAACGGAGUGCCGCGUCGUGACCAUCGUUUGUGGAGAAAUAAACGCGAUGAUUCAUUCUGAAUCUUUCAGCAAUGUUAUUGUUUGGUGUGAAUGUGCCUGCAACAUUGACUCAUGUGCCAAAACAAGAUAUUGAAUGCAUUGUUUUUAAAUAAAAUAUUUUAUUGUGC
ensembl:lncRNA